AAAAGCAGGGGCAAGGUGAUCGCGUUCGCAGUUGUCAACACCCGACAACGGAAUGAGGAAAGUCCGGGCACCCUGAGGAUCACACCGCUGGAGAAAGUCCAGUGCGGGCAACCGUGAGGAUAGUGCCACAGAAACAUACCGCCGAUGGAUCAGAGGUAAAAACCUCGAUCACAGGUAAGGGUGCAAUGGUGGGGCGAAAGCUUAAUGUAAGAGCCCACCAGCAACGUUGAGAGGCGUUGGCUUGGUAAACCCCGGUGGGGUGCAAGGCCGCAGUAGCAGGCACAGAUCUUUGUCCUAGUGACAGAGCUGUGAUCAGGAUGGUCCUCUUCUCCUGACUACUGCAUCGGGACACGGGUACCUGUCGAUGGGCAGGGAAGGCGUGAGCCCGGUGGAGGUGCGCUGCCAGAGGUCGGUGGUAACGCCGAUCCCAGAUAGAUGGUCACUCCUGCUCCGUUGAGCAGAGACAGAACCCGGCUUACAACCUGCUUUUUCUU
rnacentral:RNase_P_RNA from 1 species